rnacentral:rRNA from 1 species
UACGGGGGGGGCAAGCGUUGUUCGGAAUUACUGGGCUUAAAGGGCUCGUAGGCGGCCAACUAAGUCGGAUGUGAAAUCCCCAGGCUUAACCUGGGAACUGCAUCCGAUACUGGAUGGCUUGAAUCCGGGAGAGGGAUGCGGAAUUCCAGGUGUAGCGGUGAAAUGCGCAGAUAUCAGGAGGAACACCGGUGGCGAAGGCGGUGGUCUGGGCCGGAACUGACGCUGAGGAGCGAAAGCGUGGGGAGCGAACAGG